AAGAAAUUCCUGUACAUUUACUCACUGCCUACUGGAACAAGUCCAUCCCCAAAGUGAGGUUAUGGGCAGUGCAAAUGAAGAAAUGAAUAAAUAAAUGAAUGAAUGAAUGAAUGAAUAAAACGGUCACUGAGUGAAUGAGGGCAGGUUUGGAGAGGUGAGAGGUGACCAGAGGAGUUCACCUCCAGACAGGCACACAAACCCUGGGCGAGGAAGGGAAUGACAACUGCUCACCCAUGGAAUUGAGCAAGGCACUUAAUGGACCUUUUUCACAGCAUCCAGUUUGACAUGAAGGGUAAACACAGGUGUUAGGCUACUAAUAUUACAAGUUAAGGUUCUGUUCAGUUUAGUGUAGUAGUAGAGCCUUUCUGAUGUGCCACCAUGCACAAAGGCAUUAAUUAGUAUCAUUAGUAACACCUGUUUACCCUACUAUUGGCUGCUGAAAAGGGGUCUUAUGUGCUGUUUUGGCUGAAGCAGCAGCCCUUAACGUGCUCAUGUGUGGCAUUUCACUUAAACAGAGCGUUUGAAUGAAUGAGUAAAGGGGUCAGCCAGCCCCAGAGGUACGUCCUCCAGCUGUGUGUCCAACAAGCCUGUAUGGAAAAAAACUGUCUUAAAUCAACAGUUUUGCCUCCAUGCAUCACAACAAACAGCCAUGUCAUCACAGACCACUGCAGGGUUAGCCGUAACGUUUUACAUCUAAAUUCAUCUGGGACAGUAAAGUGAAACCUGCUAAGGACGGAAGUAAAAAAAAAAUCACAUGCUGAGGUUGCACUGCUGCGUUAAGGGUUAGAGCGCCGGACGUGUGAAAAGACUUAGGCUAUCCCUGCAGUCGAAAGCCGCCAGAACCGCAAGCAAUAGUGAGAGGAGGACUGCGUUUGUCUCCACGGUGUUAAAGCCGCACGAAGUGAGCACCUGAGCGGCGAUGAAGACCCGCGCGAGAGCGGCAGUUUCAAGCCCUAGCCCGCGGUGAAUAUGAAUGAAGAAUGACCAAUGCCUCUUCUUUGCAUCAGUCUCCUUUUUCUUCUGCUUCUACCUCUAUCUCUGUCCUGUGACAGCAAAAGACAUCCCACAGAAGUGAAAAACGAUUACAUAAUCGUGCAAACUCAUCUUGAAAACACAAAAGGAAAAAUCGGAAGCUUGCUGCAUAACUCAUCCUGCACAAGAGUGUGGAAACACAAGCAACCUAACUGCACGUCUGGCAACAUGGUGAGUAAUAACUAUCUUGUAGUGGUCAGCUUUAAUGUUGCUAAAUGUUUUUUUGAUACAAGUCCUUUUUGUUCAGUGAUCUGCUUGGCAUAUCAUUUAGUAAUGCCUGAGUGUUUGAAAUAUUACCAACAGUGUACAUUAAAGGUCCAGUGCGUAGAAUUUAGUGG